GACGAACGCUGGCGGCGUGCUUAACACAUGCAAGUCGAACGGAAAGGCCCUGCUUUUGUGGGGUGCUCGAGUGGCGAACGGGUGAGUAACACGUGAGUAACCUGCCCUUGACUUUGGGAUAACUUCAGGAAACUGGGGCUAAUACCGGAUAUGAGCUCCUGCUGCAUGGUGGGGGUUGGAAAGUUUCGGCGGUUGGGGAUGGACUCGCGGCUUAUCAGCUUGUUGGUGGGGUAGUGGCUUACCAAGGCUUUGACGGGUAGCCGGCCUGAGAGGGUGACCGGCCACAUUGGGACUGAGGUACGGCCCAGACUCCUACGGGAGGCAGCAGUGGGGAAUAUUGCACAAUGGGCGGAAGCCUGAUGCAGCAACGCCGCGUGCGGGAUGACGGCCUUCGGGUUGUAAACCGCUUUCGCCUGUGACGAAGAGUGAGUGACGGUAAUGGGUAAAGAAGCACCGGCUAACUACGUG
rnacentral:rRNA from 1 species